AUUGAACGCUAGCGGGAUGCCUAACACAUGCAAGUCGAACGAGUGGCGGACGGGUGAGUAAUAUAUCGGAACGUGCCCAGUAGCGGGGGAUAACUACUCGAAAGAGUGGCUAAUACCGCAUACUAUUGGAUGGGCCGAUAUGGGAUUAGCUAGUUGGUGGGGUAAAGGCUCACCAAGGCCACGAUCCGUAGCUGGUUUGAGAGGAAGACCAGCCACACUGGGACUGAGACACGGCCCAGACUCCUACGGGAGGCAGCAGUGGGGAAUUUUGGACAAUGGGGGAAAGCCUGAUCCAGCCAUGCCGCGUGUAUGAGAAGGCCUUCGGGUUGUAAAGUACUUUUAGCGGGGAAGCGGUAUCUGCAGAAGAAGCACCGGCUAACUACGUGCCAGCAGCCGCGGUAAUUC
rnacentral:rRNA from 1 species